GUUGACCUUGAGAAAAUAAAUAUGGUAAAAUGAACCAUUUGUAGAUUGAUUGACCUUGCAUCCUUCAGUUGCUCAUUAUUUCCAUCAACACUACAAACACACACUCACACACACAUACGUGAGCAUUAAUCAUCUGGAAUAUCAAGUGUCUAAGAUCUAAUCCUGAGAUCUGUGGAUAAUUUACUAUGGUUGCAAUGUUAGUAAGUAAUUCUGCCAAAAAGUAUUUUGGAAUUUUGAUACUUCAUAUUUUGUGUAAAUCCAAUUAAAUGCUUUUUUAUGCCCUUUUAAGUGGCAGUUAUCACUUGCAGAAGAUAGAACCUCAUCUUUGUUAAAUGCCUUUAUAUUUGAUGAUUUAAUUAUCAAUUAAAUGUAGAUUUAGCCUAAGCCCUUUGAAAAAACCUUACAGGACCAUGUUUUUUGAUUUGUAGAAACUGGAACAGAUUGUUUUGGA
rnacentral:misc_RNA from 1 species